UACGUAGGGUGCAAGCGUUGUCCGGAAUUAUUGGGCGUAAAGAGCUCGUAGGCGGUCUGUCGCGUCGGAUGUGAAAACCCAGGGCUCAACCCUGGGCCUGCAUUCGAUACGGGCAGACUAGAGUUCGGUAGGGGAGACUGGAAUUCCUGGUGUAGCGGUGAAAUGCGCAGAUAUCAGGAGGAACACCGGUGGCGAAGGCGGAUCUCUGGGCCAUUACUGACGCUGAGGAGCGAAAGCGUGGGGAGCGAACAGG
rnacentral:rRNA from 1 species